CCUACGGGAGGCAGCAGUGAGGAAUAUUGGUCAAUGGGCGCGAGCCUGAACCAGCCAAGUAGCGUGAAGGAUGACUGCCCUAUGGGUUGUAAACUUCUUUUAUAUGGGAAUAAAAUGUUCCACGUGUGCCUUUUUGUAUGUACUUUAUGAAUAAGGAUCGGCUAACUCCGUGCCAGCAGCCGCGGUAAUACGGAGGAUCCGAGCGUUAUCCGGAUUUAUUGGGUUUAAAGGGAGCGUAGAUGGGUUGUUAAGUCAGUUGUGAAAGUUUGCGGCUCAACCGUAAAAUUGCAGUUGAUACUGGCAGUCUUGAGUACAGUUGAGGUGGGCGGAAUUCGUGGUGUAGCGGUGAAAUGCUUAGAUAUCACGAAGAACUCCGAUUGCGAAGGCAGCUCACUGGACUGCCACUGACACUGAGGCUCGAAAGUGUGGGUAUCAAACAGGAUUAGAUACCCUUGUAGUC
rnacentral:rRNA from 1 species